UGAAUACGAGACGCUAAGGCGUCGAAGUAGUGUAUGUCAUACUUCCAAGAAAAGCUUGCACUGUCAUAGAUAAAAAACGCCUGUACCAUAACCGACACAGGUGGGUAGGUAGAGUAUACUAAGGGGCGCGAGAUAACUCUCUCUAAGGAACUCGGCAAAAUAACUCCGUAACUUCGGGAGAAGGAGUGCCUUAUUCGUAAGGUUGCAAUAACAAGAUCCAAGCAACUGUUUAUCAAAAACACAGGUCUCCGCUAAGUCGUAAGACGAUGUAUGGGGGCUGACGCCUGCCCAGUGCCAGAAGGUUAAAGAAGUUGGUUAGCAAUUGCGAAGCUGAUAACUGAAGCCCUGGUGAACGGCGGCCGUAACGAUAACGGUCCUAAGGUAGCGAAAUUCCUUGUCGGGUAAGUUCCGACCCGCACGAAAGGCGUAAUGAUUUGGAUACUGUCUCGGAGAGGGGCUCGGUGAAAUAGACUUGUCUGUGAAGAUACGGACUACCUGCACCAGGACAGAAAGACCCUAUGAAGCUUUACUGUAACUUGAAAUUGAAAUUGGACUUUAUUCGCGCAGCAUAGGUGGGAGGCGUUGAUUAUAAUCUUGCGGGAUUAUUGGAGCCAUCAGUGAGAUACCACUCUUGUAAUGUUAGAUUUCUAACUUUGAAUCAUUAUCUGGUCAAAGAACAGUUUCAGGCGGGCAGUUUGACUGGGGCGGUCGCCUCCUAAACGGUAACGGAGGCGUACAAAGGUUUCCUCUGAACGGUUAGAAAUCGUAUCUAGAGUGUAAAGGCAUAAGGAAGCUUGACUGUGAGACCUACAAGUCGAGCAGGGACGAAAGUCGGUCUUAGUGAUCUGACGGUACUGAGUGGAAAGGCCGUCACUCAACGGAUAAAAGUUACUCUAGGAUAACAGGCUGACCUCCCCCAAGAGUUCACAUCGACGGGGAGGUUUGGCACCUCGAUGUCGGCUCAUCGCAUCCUGGGGCGGUAGUACGUCCCAAGGGUUGGGCUGUUCGCCCAUGAAAGCGGUACGCGAGCUGGGUUCAGAACGUCGUGAGACAGUUCGGUCCAUAUCCGGUGUAGGCGUUAGAAUAUUGAGAGGAGCCUUCUUUAGUACGAGAGGACCGAGAAGGACAUACCUCUGGUGUACCAGUUAUCGUGCCAACGGUAAACGCUGGGUAGCUAUGUAUGGAGUGGAUAACCGCUGAAAGCAUCUAAGUGGGAAGCCCACCUCAAGAUAAG
rnacentral:rRNA from 1 species